CAGCCGCCGCGGUAAUACGUAGGUCCCGAGCGUUGUCCGGAUUUAUUGGGCGUAAAGCGAGCGCAGGCGGUUAGAUAAGUCUGAAGUUAAAGGCUGUGGCUUAACCAUAGUACGCUUUGGAAACUGUUUAACUUGAGUGCAAGAGGGGAGAGUGGAAUUCCAUGUGUAGCGGUGAAAUGCGUAGAUAUAUGGAGGAACACCGGUGGCGAAAGCGGCUCUCUGGCUUGUAACUGACGCUAAGGCUCGAAAGCGUGGGGAGCAAACAGGAUUAGAUACCCGUGUAGUCCCUGUCUCUUAUACA
rnacentral:rRNA from 1 species